rnacentral:rRNA from 1 species
AUGCUGGAGGUAUCAGAAGUGCGAAUGCUGACAUAAGUAACGAUAAAGCGGGUGAAAAGCCCGCUCGCCGGAAGACCAAGGGUUCCUGUCCAACGUUAAUCGGGGCAGGGUGAGUCGACCCCUAAGGCGAGGCCGAAAGGCGUAGUCGAUGGGAAACAGGUUAAUAUUCCUGUACUUGGUGUUACUGCGAAGGGGGGACGGAGAAGGCUAUGUUGGCCGGGCGACGGUUGUCCCGGUUUAAGCGUGUAGGCUGGUUUUCCAGGCAAAUCCGGAAAAUCAAGGCUGAGGCGUGAUGACGAGGCACUACGGUGCUGAAGCAACAAAUGCCCUGCUUCCAGGAAAAGCCUCUAAGCAUCAGGUAACAUCAAAUCGUACCCCAAACCGACACAGGUGGUCAGGUAGAGAAUACCAAGGCGCUUGAGAGAACUCGGGUGAAGGAACUAGGCAAAAUGGUGCCGUAACUUCGGGAGAAGGCACGCUGAUAUGUAGGUGAAGCGACUUGCUCGUGGAGCUGAAAUCAGUCGAAGAUACCAGCUGGCUGCAACUGUUUAUUAAAAACACAGCACUGUGCAAACACGAAAGUGGACGUAUACGGUGUGACGCCUGCCCGGUGCCGGAAGGUUAAUUGAUGGGGUUAGCGGUAACGCGAAGCUCUUGAUCGAAGCCCCGGUAAACGGCGGCCGUAACUAUAACGGUCCUAAGGUAGCGAAAUUCCUUGUCGGGUAAGUUCCGACCUGCACGAAUGGCGUAAUGAUGGCCAGGCUGUCUCCACCCGAGACUCAGUGAAAUUGAACUCGCUGUGAAGAUGCAGUGUACCCGCGGCAAGACGGAAAGACCCCGUGAACCUUUACUAUAGCUUGACACUGAACAUUGAGCCUUGAUGUGUAGGAUAGGUGGGAGGCUUUGAAGUGUGGACGCCAGUCUGCAUGGAGCCGACCUUGAAAUACCACCCUUUAAUGUUUGAUGUUCUAACGUUGACCCGUAAUCCGGGUUGCGGACAGUGUCUGGUGGGUAGUUUGACUGGGGCGGUCUCCUCCUAAAGAGUAACGGAGGAGCACGAAGGUUGGCUAAUCCUGGUCGGACAUCAGGAGGUUAGUGCAAUGGCAUAAGCCAGCUUGACUGCGAGCGUGACGGCGCGAGCAGGUGCGAAAGCAGGUCAUAGUGAUCCGGUGGUUCUGAAUGGAAGGGCCAUCGCUCAACGGAUAAAAGGUACUCCGGGGAUAACAGGCUGAUACCGCCCAAGAGUUCAUAUCGACGGCGGUGUUUGGCACCUCGAUGUCGGCUCAUCACAUCCUGGGGCUGAAGUAGGUCCCAAGGGUAUGGCUGUUCGCCAUUUAAAGUGGUACGCGAGCUGGGUUUAGAACGUCGUGAGACAGUUCGGUCCCUAUCUGCCGUGGGCGCUGGAGAACUGAGGGGGGCUGCUCCUAGUACGAGAGGACCGGAGUGGACGCAUCACUGGUGUUCGGGUUGUCAUGCCAAUGGCACUGCCCGGUAGCUAAAUGCGGAAGAGAUAAGUGCUGAAAGCAUCUAAGCACGAAACUUGCCCCGAGAUGAGUUCUCCCUGACUCCUUGAGAGUCCUGAAGGAACGUUGAAGACGACGACGUUGAUAGGCCGGGUGUGUAAGCGCAGCGAUGCGUUGAGCUAACCGGUACUAAUGAACCGUGAGGCUUAACCUU